GACGUAGGGCGCGAGCGUUGUCCGGAUUUACUGGGCGUAAAGAGCGCGCAGGCGGUCGUUCAAGUCGAGUGUGAAAGCCCCCGGCUCAACUGGGGAGGGUCACGCGAUACUGAUCGACUCGAAGGCAGGAGAGGGUAGUGGAAUUCCCGGUGUAGUGGUGAAAUGCGUAGAUAUCGGGAGGAACACCAGUGGCGAAGGCGACUACCUGGCCUGUUCUUGACGCUGAGGCGCGAAAGCUAGGGGAGCAAACGGG
rnacentral:rRNA from 1 species